UUUUUUUCACUGCCAACUUGGACAGAACUCACUCAGUCCCACGUAUGAAAUCACUGCCGAUUCCUUCCCGACUCAGUAAUCAUUGUGAUCGUAUUUGUUGCUGAAUGUAACGGUUACCGGCGGCAUAAAGGGUCCGACAUCCAUCCUAUUUGUGUUGAAAUAUUGCAGAAACCGACCACCAUUGGAACUUUCUUUUAGCUGUAGUUGAUGUUGGUAGGGAGCAGUAGCACUAUUUAUUGUCCUGUCUGUCUUUCGCUAUGGUCUUGGCGAUAAAAUAUGGCUUCGAACAUUGUAUGAAGAGAGACAGAGGCGGGUUCCGGUCUACUUAAAGGACGUAGUCUUUGCAGGAAUGAUCCCCAUCCAAGAAAAUGAGGGCUUUGAUGCCUUUUUUUGAUGGUUAUGUACAUAAGCAUACAUCGUUUAAGGAAUUUGUAGAUAAGAAUGAUCUCUCCCUACACCAAAAACACUUGAAAGAAGCCAUGGCAGAUCUGGAGACCAAAGAUUCAAGCUUUGAGUUGAAAACAAGAUGUAAAUUUGAGGCGCGGCUCUCUGAAAUGUACAGAAACGAAAUCUUUUAAGAGGUUCCAGUCUGAAGUUGAGGGGAUGUAUUCUUGUUUUAACACGAAGCAGGUGAAUGUUGAUGGAUAAAUAGUAACAUACAUUGUCAAAGAAGUCCCUUCUCGCUACAUUCUACCACGAUGGGGCAAAGAUUUUAAGCGCAGGGGUCUUCUAGAUCACAAUUCCAAUGAUGUUGACCCGGAUAACCCUAUGUACUGGUAUACCCAUCUGUACAAAUGUGCCAUUCCAGUUGUGGAGGAUGGAGCACGAUCUUCAGGUCAUUAUAAGACUGCAUUGCACGAAUUGGAAGAGUUGACGAACAAAUUCGAUCCUGUAGAGGACAGCUUGGUGUAGAUUCUAAUGUGGAAAGAAGCUAGAAAUUCAAAAUGUUUUUUCUUUUAAAA